UUUGAUCACAGCACCUUUACCGAUUUGGAACGAGAAAGGUUUUUGUCCCUCGUCCUUUGUACU
rnacentral:sRNA from 1 species